AGAAAUAUGAGAAUGUGUAGAAUCAGUACACGCUUCCAUUAUCCUCGAAUUGAGAUAGUUUGUAUUUCAAGAAAAGUAUGUUCCAUGUGUUGCUGAUGAACAUUUUGAAUUUGUCAUCUGGGUCAUCUUAUUCUAGAGAUUCUUAAGGGGUUUAAUCAACAUGCACUGAUACUAUUUUAAUAAUUUCGAGUCUUCAUGUUGUGGUUCUGAAAAAGAU
rnacentral:lncRNA from 1 species